rnacentral:tRNA from 1 species
GGGUGGAUGGCUGAGCGGCUGAAAGCAUUAGUUUUGAAAACUAACGGUAAUCUAUAUUACUCGUGGGUUCGAAUCCUACUCUACCCG